CAGCAGUGAGCCGGGUUCCCAGCGAGCCACUUUAUCACAAGAGGGAAUAACUGAUGUGCUACAGGGUCCUGUGGUGCUACGCUAGGAGGUGAGUGAAUUAAAUGCAUUUUUGACUUAUAAUAUUUUAAAUUUACAAUGGGUUUAUCAGAGGAUAGACCCGUUGAAAGUUGAGGAAAACCUGUAAUGUUUUCAGCUUUAACAUUAUAGGAGAAAAGAAAAGAAACAGAAGUCCGAAGAGAUCUCCCGGCAUGUAGCCUCACGUGCUUUCAGUCACACCUGCUCUCUCACUUGCUUGAGUGCUGCAGGUAGAAUAGGAAACAAGUAACAACGAGGAGCUGUCAUGAAAGAGAUUCAGGACACAUACAGUUGAAUGAAAUGAAAACCACAGACCAUCCUGCUAUGGGAGCAGACCCCAACCGAUUAGCAAAGGCCUUCUCCAGAGAACCAGAUGAAGACACAGCCUAGAUUCAUGAUCAGCAAACUACAACCCUCUCCCAUUUUGGAUCCCUAUAGCACUUCGUGGGGAGGCCUCCAGCCUGGUUGA
rnacentral:lncRNA from 1 species